rnacentral:rRNA from 1 species
GACGAACGCUGGCGGCGUGCUUAACACAUGCAAGUCGAACGGAAAGGCCUUUUCGGAGGUACUCGAGUGGCGAACGGGUGAGUAACACGUGGGUGAUCUGCCCUGCACUCUGGGAUAAGCCUGGGAAACUGGGUCUAAUACCGGAUAGGACCGCACUUUAGUGUGUGUGGUGGAAAGUUUUUUCGGUGUAGGAUGAGCCCGCGGCCUAUCAGCUUGUUGGUGGGGUAAUGGCCUACCAAGGCGGCGACGGGUAGCCGGACUGAGAGGUUGGUCGGCCACAGUGGGACUGAGAUACGGCCCAGACUCCUACGGGAGGCAGCAGUGGGGAAUAUUGCACAAUGGGCGCCAGCCUGAUGCAGCGACGCCGCGUGGGGGAUGACGGCCUUCGGGUUGUAAACUCCUUUCGCCAGGGACGAAGCGUUUUGUGACGGUACCUGGAGAAGAAGCACCGGCUAACUACGUG